rnacentral:tRNA from 1 species
UAGUAAAAGCCAAGAGGCAACAUUGCCUUGAAAGCAAUAGACGGGGGCUCAUUUCCCCCUUUACUAA